CCCGGGUAAAGUAUCGUACAUCCACCAAAAAGUCGAGAGAGUUACCUGUAUAAUAUCUCAAAAACGAGCGCUCCCUGCAUUUAUAUGCCAAAUUUGGAUUUAGCUAUAGGUUACGCGGCAGACCACGCCUCCUCCACAGCGUUCGCAGGUUGAACUAUUUAAAGACUCUGGUUCUGAGUCCAGCCAUCCCACUCAAAGUGACUGCAAGGCCUACUCCCUGCCAUUUUAUGCAGCAUGACCCCACUGAGCUCUGCAGAUCAAAUCAACUGUGUUCAAAACUGAUAAGGCUUUUUACACUUCAGUCAGCAUCAACCCAAGUUCCAGACACAAGUUAUUUUCCUCAGGUGGGUAUAAUGAGCAUUUUUCACAGGAGAAAGCUGGCAUCCUCUAGGUAGAGGGCAAGCUUUGCUCCCUGCUUUAUGAGUGCAUUCCUGGGGAUCAGAUUCUCAGCACCUUAAGUCAUGCUGACUUCAAUCCUGCAUUCCUACUAAGACUUCUAGAGGAAUCAACCCACAUCACCAAGAAAUGUCAACUCAGCUGGAAAUGAAGCCAGUGCCCAUCUAAGAGUGCUGGAGUAGCCUACGCCGCUCCAGUAUGGCACCCAGGUCCCCACAGCCCACCAACACAAUCAACUUGAGAAGAUCCAACGACAUGCAGCCAAAAUCAUCAUGCGCCCCCCUACACCCCCUACGACUCUGCAUGCAAUGACUUGGGCUUGCAGUCCUUGGAGUCCCGUCGCACCCACCUCUGCAGAUCCUUUGCCCAGAAGCUUGCAAAGUUCCAGGAUUACAACAAAUGGCUGCCUCAGACGAGAGUCCAUGUCAGUGGCAGAUCUGCCCAAUCCAGUCACAAACUGAACCUUCCCCCUACUCUGACUGACAGGUACUACAACAGCCCUAUGCCAUAGUUUGUGAGACUGCUUAAUGCUGCUUAACUGUAAUAUUGUAUACCACAUCUCAUAUUUUUUAUUUACUUACGUUGGGCUUAUGUACGCUGCAAUUCAGCUUUUAGCUGCAAAUGUGAACAAUUCCAA